AUGACGAAUGUGCUUGGAAGCUUAAGAAAGGGGGUAAGCACUCGUAGACAAUUAGCAAACUAUUGUGAGUAUCACACGUUUGUCUCUUGUGUCGAACCCCACAAGGUCUAUGAGGCGCUCGAAGAUCUGGAUUGGCUCAAUGCCAUGCACGAAGAACUCAACAACUUCGAGCGCAACAAAGUGUGGAGAUUGGUGCCAAGACCGGCGGGGAACCACAAUGUCAUUGGAACCAAGUGGAUAUUUAAGAACAAGCAAGAUGCCCAUGGGAUUAUCAUUCGCAACAAGGCUCGUUUGGUAGCACAAGGCUACUCCCAAGUCGAGGGUAUCAACUACGGUGAAACCUUUGCUCCCGUUGCUCGUCUUGAAUCCAUUCGCAUGUUGAUUGCAUAUGCUUCUCAUCAUAACUUUAAGUUACAACAAAUGGAUGUGAAGAGUGCUUUUCUUAAUGGUCCCAUUAAUGAAUUGGUUUAUGUCAAGCAUCCCCCCUGGUUCGAGGAUCCCUACUUUACCAAUCAUGUGUAUCAACUCGAUAAGGCACUCUAUUGCCUUAAACAAGCCCCACGUGCGUGGUAUGACCACCUUACCGAGUUGUUACAAGACCGUGGUUUUGAAGUUGGGCUAAUCGACCCCACUCUUUUUACUAAGAAGGUCAAAGGGGAAUUGUUUGUUUGCCAAUUAUAUGUUGAUGAUAUUAUCUUUGGUUCCCCUAACAAAGCUUUCAAUGAGGAAUUUGCCGCUCUCAUGACCUCAAAGUUCGAGAUGUCUUCCAUCAGAGAGUUGAAGUUCUUUCUAGGGUUCGAAGUGAAGCAAAGAAGAGAAGGAACCUUCAUCAACCAAGCCAAAUACACUCAAGACAUGCUCAAGAGAUUCAAGCUAAGUGAUGUCAAGCCGGCUUCCACUCCAAUGCCCACCAAGUGCCAACUUGACAUAGAACCCAAUGGUAAAGUGGUGGAUCAAAAGGUAUAUCGCUCCAUGAUAGGCUCCUUGCUCUACCUUUGUGCAUCUAGACCGGAUAUCAUGUUGAGUGUGGGAAUUUGUGCACGGUUUCAAGCCGCACCUAAGGAAAGUCACUAUGUGGCGGUCAAACGAAUCUUUCGAUAUUUGGUUCAUACCCCAAACUUUGGCUUAUGGUACCCAAGAGGAGCAAACUUCAAGCUUGUAGGGUAUUCGGAUUUCGAUUGGGCGGGAGACAAAGUGGAUAGGAAGUCCACUUCCGGAGGGUGCCGAUUCCGUGGUUGCUCUUUGGUAUGUUGGUCUUCCAAAAAGCAAAGUUGUGUGUCUCUCUCGUCCACCGAAGCGGAGUAUGUAGCAACCGGGAGUUGUUGUGCACAACUCUUAUGGAUGAGGCAAACUUUGAAGGAUUACGGUGUCAUUUGUGACAAAGUGCCUCUUUGGUGUGACAAUGAAAAUGCCAUCAAGAUUUCUCUCAACCCGGUGCAACACUUCAAGAAGAAGCAUAUUGAGAUUCGGUAUCACUUCAUCCGGGAUCACAUUAGGCGAGGGGAGAUCGAGCUCAACUACGUCAACACUCAUGAUACACUACUAGGGAAA
rnacentral:rRNA from 1 species